UAUCUGUGACGGAUAACCCAGUGGAAGGGUAGCUGCCGGUCGGUAACCUUGCGUAGGUCUAACCAGCGGGUGAGUGUGUCUGUUUCGAAUCGGGGAGCGGCCGUUAUAACUCGUCGGGGAACCACGAUUGUUGUACUGCCCUAAGCAAUGAAGAUGAACCCCCAGGGAAGCAAUUCUGCAAGGAACUCUUCACUCUGCGAUGGCGACAGCAGACCGCACCUCCUCGUGUAAGGAAACUGACCAUUUGGCUACACAACUAUUCUCUU
rnacentral:SRP_RNA from 1 species